rnacentral:rRNA from 1 species
AGUGAACGCUGGCGGUAGGCCUAACACAUGCAAGUCGAACGGCAGCACAGUAAGAGCUUGCUCUUACGGGUGGCGAGUGGCGGACGGGUGAGGAAUACAUCGGAAUCUACUUUUUCGUGGGGGAUAACGUAGGGAAACUUACGCUAAUACCGCAUACGACCUACGGGUGAAAGCAGGGGAUCUUCGGACCUUGCGCGAUUGAAUGAGCCGAUGUCGGAUUAGCUAGUUGGCGGGGUAAAGGCCCACCAAGGUGACGAUCCGUAGCUGGUCUGAGAGGAUGAUCAGCCACACUGGAACUGAGACACGGUCCAGACUCCUACGGGAGGCAGCAGUGGGGAAUAUUGGACAAAGGGCGCAAGCCUGAUCCAGCCAUACCGCGUGGGUGAAGAAGGCCUUCGGGUUGUAAAGCCCUUUUGUUGGGAAAGAAAAGCAGCAGGUUAAUACCCCGCUGUUCUGACGGUACCCAAAGAAUAAGCACCGGCUAACUUCGUG